AUACGGUGAAACUGCGAAUGGCUCAUUAAAUCAGUUAUCGUUUAUUUGAUAGUACCUUACUACAUGGAUACCUGUGGUAAUUCUAGAGCUAAUACAUGCUAAAAACCUCGACUUCGGAAGGGGUGUAUUUAUUAGAUAAAAAACCAAUGCCCUUCGGGGCUCCUUGGUGAAUCAUAAUAACUUAACGAAUCGCAUGGCCUUGCGCCGGCGAUGGUUCAUUCAAAUUUCUGCCCUAUCAACUUUCGAUGGUAGGAUAGUGGCCUACCAUGGUGGCAACGGGUAACGGGGAAUUAGGGUUCGAUUCCGGAGAGGGAGCCUGAGAAACGGCUACCACAUCCAAGGAAGGCAGCAGGCGCGCAAAUUACCCAAUCCCGACACGGGGAGGUAGUGACAAUAAAUACUGAUACGGGGCUCUUUUGGGUCUCGUAAUUGGAAUGAGUACAAUCUAAAUCCCUUAACGAGGAACAAUUGGAGGGCAAGUCUGGUGCCAGCAGCCGCGGUAAUUCCAGCUCCAAUAGCGUAUAUUAAAGUUGUUGCAGUUAAAAAGCUCGUAGUUGAACCUUGGGUCUGGCUGGCCGGUCCGCCUCACCGCGAGUACUGGUCCGGCUGGACCUUUCCUUCUGGGGAACCUCAUGGCCUUCACUGGCUGUGGGGGGAACCAGGACUUUUACUGUGAAAAAAUUAGAGUGUUCAAAGCAGGCCUUUGCUCGAAUACAUUAGCAUGGAAUAAUAGAAUAGGACGUGCGGUUCUAUUUUGUUGGUUUCUAGGACCGCCGUAAUGAUUAAUAGGGAUAGUCGGGGGCGUCAGUAUUCAGCUGUCAGAGGUGAAAUUCUUGGAUUUGCUGAAGACUAACUACUGCGAAAGCAUUCGCCAAGGAUGUUUUCAUUAAUCAGGGAACGAAAGUUAGGGGAUCGAAGACGAUCAGAUACCGUCGUAGUCUUAACCAUAAACUAUGCCGACUAGGGAUCGGGCGGUGUUUCUAUGAUGACCCGCUCGGCACCUUACGAGAAAUCAAA
rnacentral:rRNA from 1 species